rnacentral:rRNA from 1 species
UACAUAGGGCUCAAGCGUUGUUCGGAUUCAUUGGGCGUAAAGGGUGCGUAGGCGGCGCGGUAAGUCGGGUGUGAAAUCUCGGGGCUUAACUCCGAAACUGCAUUCGAUACUGCCGUGCUUGAGGACUGGAGAGGAGACUGGAAUUUACGGUGUAGCGGUGAAAUGCGUAGAUAUCGUAAGGAAGACCAGUGGCGAAGGCGGGUCUCUGGACAGUUCCUGACGCUGAGGCACGAAGGCCAGGGGAGCAAACGGG